rfam:Capsicum annuum cultivar Zunla-1 chromosome 9, whole genome shotgun sequence
GAGCAAUGACUAUAAAUUGCACUAAUCAUGAACGAUGGGUCGUCACACCUGUCUGAUUACUGAUGAUGAUAUUAUAGUGCAUCUGAGCUC